rnacentral:tRNA from 1 species
GCAUAGAUAGUGUAAUGGUAGCACGACAGACUCCAAAUCUGUUUGUAUGGGUUCGAGUCCUUUUCUAUGUG